AGUGAACGCUGGCGGUAUGCCUAACACAUGCAAGUCGAACGGCAACACAGUAAGCGCUUGCUCGUACGGGUGGCGAGUGACGUACGGGUGAGUGAUCCAUCGGAAGCUACUAUUGCGUGGGGGAGCAGGUAGUACAGCAUACGCUAAUAGGGCAUACGAGCUGCGGGUGAAAGCAGGGGAUCUUCGGACCUUGCGCGAUUGAAUUAGCCGAUGUCGGAUUAGAUAGUUGGCGGGGUAAAGGCCCACCAAGUCGACGAUCCGUAGCUGGUCUGAGAGGAUGAUCAGCCACACUGGGACUGAGACACGGUCCAGACUCCUACGGGAGGCAGCAGUGGGGAAUAUUGGACAAUGGGCGCAAGCCUGAUCCAGCCAUACCGCGUGCGUGAAGAAGGCCUUCGGGUUGUAAACCCCUUUUGUUGGGAAAGAAAAGGUGCAGGCUAAUACCUCGCUGUCCUGACGGUACCUAAAGAAUAAGCACCGGCUAACUUCGUG
rnacentral:rRNA from 1 species